rnacentral:tRNA from 1 species
UACGGGAUAGAGCAGUCCGGUAGCUCACUAGGCCCAUAACCGGUUCAAUUCCUGUUCCCGUAC